GAUGAACGCUGGCGGCGUGCCUAAUACAUGCAAGUCGAGCGAACGGACGAGAAGCUUGCUUCUCUGAUGUUAGCGGCGGACGGGUGAGUAACACGUGGAUAACCUACCUAUAAGACUAGGAUAACUUCAGGAAACCGGAGCUAAUACCGGAUGAUAUUUUGAACCGCAUGGUUCAAAAGUGAAAGACGGUCUUGCUGUCACUUAUAGAUGGAUCCGCGCUGCAUUAGCUAGUUGGUAAGGUAACGGCUUACCAAGGCAACGAUGCAUAGCCGACCUGAGAGGGUGAUCGGCCACACUGGAACUGAGACACGGUCCAGACUCCUACGGGAGGCAGCAGUAGGGAAUCUUCCGCAAUGGGCGAAAGCCUGACGGAGCAACGCCGCGUGAGUGAUGAAGGUCUUCGGAUCGUAAAACUCUGUUAUUAGGGAAGAACAUAUGUGUAAGUAACUGUGCACAUCUUGACGGUACCUAAUCAGAAAGCCACGGCUAACUACGUG
rnacentral:rRNA from 1 species